AUACGUAGGGUGCGAGCGUUGUCCGGAAUUACUGGGCGUAAAGAGCUCGUAGGUGGUUUGUCGCGUCGUCUGUGAAAUUCCGGGGCUUAACUCCGGGCGUGCAGGCGAUACGGGCAUAACUUGAGUACUGUAGGGGAGACUGGAAUUCCUGGUGUAGCGGUGAAAUGCGCAGAUAUCAGGAGGAACACCGGUGGCGAAGGCGGGUCUCUGGGCAGUAACUGACGCGGAGGAGCGAAAGCAUGGGUAGCGAACAGGAUUAGAUCCCCUGGUAGUCCAUGCCGUAAACGGUGGGCGCUAGGUGUAGGGGUCUUCCACGACUUCUGUGCCGUAGCUAACGCAUUAAGCGCCCCGCCUGGGGAGUACGGCCGCAAGGCUAAAACUCAAAUGAAUUGACGGGG
rnacentral:rRNA from 1 species